GACGAACGCUGGCGGCGUGCUUAACACAUGCAAGUCGAGCGGUAAGGCCUUUCGGGGUACACGAGCGGCGAACGGGUGAGUAACACGUGGGUGAUCUGCCCUGCACUUCGGGAUAAGCCUGGGAAACUGGGUCUAAUACCGGAUAUGACCUCCUAUCGCAUGGUGGGUGGUGGAAAGAUUUAUCGGUGCAGGAUGGGCCCGCGGCCUAUCAGCUUGUUGGUGGGGUAAUGGCCUACCAAGGCGACGACGGGUAGCCGACCUGAGAGGGUGACCGGCCACACUGGGACUGAGACACGGCCCAGACUCCUACGGGAGGCAGCAGUGGGGAAUAUUGCACAAUGGGCGAAAGCCUGAUGCAGCGACGCCACGUGAGGGAUGACGGCCUUCGGGUUGUAAACCUCUUUCAGCAGGGACGAAGCGCAAGUGACGGUACCUGCAGAAGAAGCACCGGCUAACUACGUG
rnacentral:rRNA from 1 species